UCGAGGGGUAACGGAGGUGCUUGCACUUGCCGACGACCGGCGCACGGGUGAGUUACGUGUAUGUAACUUGCCUCACACAGGAGGAUAGCCUUUGGAAACGAAGAUUAAUACUCCAUAGUACUAUUUAGGGGCAUCUUUAGAUAGUUAAGCUUACGAGGGUGUGAGAUAGGCAUGCAUUAGAUUAGUUAGUUGGUAAGGUAACGGCUUACCAAGGCAAUGAUCUAUAGGGGUCCUGAGAGGGAGAUCCCCCACACUGGUACUGAGACACGGACCAGACUCAUACGGGAGGCAGCAGUGAAGAAUAUUGGUCAAUGGACGAGAGUCUGAACCAGCCAUUCCGCGUGUAGGAUUAAUCUCUUAUAGAGUGUAAACUACUUUUAUACAGGAGGAUAGGUUGUACGUGUACAACUUAGGACGUUACUGUAAGAAUAAGCAUCGGCUAACUCCGUGCCAGCAGCCGCGGUAAUACGGAGGAUGCAAACGUUAUCCGG
rnacentral:rRNA from 1 species